rnacentral:snRNA from 1 species
AGCUUUGCGCAGGGGCAGUGUCAUAGCCAAUGAGGUACUACCGAGGCGUAACUAUUACUAGUUGAAAACUAUACAGUACGACUGUAAGUGAUGUGGUUACACGAGAAAACUUAAAGCAAUAUUCGUAUU